rnacentral:rRNA from 1 species
GACGAACGCUGGCGGCGUGCUUAACACAUGCAAGUCGAACGGAAAGGCCCUGCUUUUGUGGGGUGCUCGAGUGGCGAACGGGUGAGUAACACGUGAGUAACCUGCCCUUGACUUUGGGAUAACUUCAGGAAACUGGGGCUAAUACCGGAUAGGAGCUCCUGCUGCAUGGUGGGGGUUGGAAAGUUUCGGCGGUUGGGGAUGGACUCGCGGCUUAUCAGCUUGUUGGUGGGGUAGUGGCUUACCAAGGCUUUGACGGGUAGCCGGCCUGAGAGGGUGACCGGCCACAAUAGGACUGAGGUACGGCCCAGACUCCUACGGGAGGCAGCAGUGGGGAACAUUGCACAAUGGGCGGAAGCCUGAUGAAGCAACGCCGCGUGCGGGAUGCCGGCCUUCGGGUUGUAAACCGCUUUCGCCUGUGACGAAGCGUGAGUGACGGUAAUGGGUAAAGAAGCACCGGCUAACUACGUG